GGGUUUGGGUUUCUUCAAUAGCGAGUAUUGUCUCUAAUUUUAAAUAUUUAAGUUAGAAUUUUCUUCUUUGCUAUUAUUUAGCCAGAGUUAGUUAUCUUAGUUAUAUAUAGAUACCUGACCCCACUUUAUUAACUUUAUUUUGUGGUUGAUUUCUGAAAACUAAUUUUCAACUUGGCUAAGUUUCGUGUCCCUUUCUGUCCCUUGUUGCCAUUUGCCUGCUCUACUUUUUGUGAUUUUAUUUAGAAAAGUAAUUCAGAGAACAUUUCAAAACUUUUCAGUGACCCAGUAAUGUUCAGA
rnacentral:lncRNA from 1 species